rnacentral:rRNA from 1 species
CGACGACGGGUAGCCGGCCUGAGAGGGCGACCGGCCACACUGGGACUGAGACACGGCCCAGACUCCUACGGGAGGCAGCAGUGGGGAAUAUUGCACAAUGGGCGGAAGCCUGAUGCAGCGACGCCGCGUGAGGGAUGACGGCCUUCGGGUUGUAAACCUCUUUCAGCAGGGACGAAGCGUAAGUGACGGUACCUGCAGAAGAAGCGCCGGCCAACUACGUGCCAGCAGCCGCGGUAAGACGUAGGGCGCGAGCGUUGUCCGGAUUUAUUGGGCGUAAAGAGCUCGUAGGCGGCUUGUCGCGUCGACUGUGAAAACCCGCGGCUCAACCGCGGGCCUGCAGUCGAUACGGGCAGGCUAGAGUUCGGUAGGGGAGACUGGAAUUCCUGGUGUAGCGGUGAAAUGCGCAGAUAUCAGGAGGAACACCGGUGGCGAAGGCGGGUCUCUGGGCCGAUACUGACGCUGAGGAGCGAAAGCGUGGGGAGCGAACAGGAUUAGAUACCCUGGUAGUCCACGCUGUAAACGUUGGGCGCUAGGUGUGGGGGGCCUCUCCGGUUCCCUGUGCCGCAGCUAACGCAUUAAGCGCCCCGCCUGGGGGAGUACGG